rnacentral:rRNA from 1 species
AUGGCGCAACCUAAUGUCAUGCUUCUGUGCUGGAAUGUGCGUGGCCUCAAUGCCCCUGCCCGUCGUGACGCUGUGCGCGACCUUCUCCGUGACUACCAUGCCACCAUUAUGGGCCUCCAAGAGACUAAGCUCGAUCACGUCGAUGAUUCCCUCAUCGCAACCAUGCUCGGCCCCUCCUUCACUGCUAACUACCAUGUCCUCCCGGCCGUCGGGUCAAGGGGGGGCAUGAUCAUGGCCGUCUCCGACGCUUACUUCCGCCUUUCGGACUUCCAGGCAAUGCAUGGAUCCAUCUCGGCCACCGUCACCAUGCUGGCUGAUGGCCUUGACUGGACCCUGUCAUGCGUUUACGGCCCUCAGGGGGAGCAAGACAAGCUGCUUUUCAUCAACGAGCUCAGAGGGCUGAAGCAUGUGGUGAAGCCCUGGUGGCUCAUUCUUGGCGACUUCAACCUGAUCACCAAAGCGGCUGACAAGAACAACCAAAACUUAAAUAGCCGCCUCAUUGGCAGUUUCCGCUCCGCGCUAAAUCACCUC